rnacentral:rRNA from 1 species
AACGAACGCUGGCGGUGUGCCUAACACAUGCAAGUCGAGCGAAGUGAGUACUACGGUACGAACUUAGCGGCGGACGGGUGAGUAACGCGUGGACAAUCUACCCUGUAGACUGGGAUAACACCUCGAAAGGGGUGCUAAUACCGGAUAAUGUCGAGAAGCGGCAUCGCUUUUCGAAGAAAGGAGAGAAUCCGCUAUAGGAGGAGUCCGCGUCCCAUUAGCUAGUUGGUGAGGGUAACGGCCCACCAAGGCGACGAUGGGUAGCCGGCCUGAGAGGGUGAACGGCCACACUGGAACUGAGACACGGUCCAGACUCCUACGGGAGGCAGCAGUGGGGAAUAUUGUGCAAUGGGGGAAACCCUGACACAGCAACGCCGCGUGAGCGAAGAAGGCCUUCGGGUUGUAAAGCUCAAUAGUAUGGGAAGAUAAUGACGGUACCAUACGAAAGCCCCGGCUAACUACGUGCCAGCCGCCGCCGUAACAC